rnacentral:rRNA from 1 species
UAAUACGGAGGGUGCGAGCGUUGUCCGGAAUCACUGGGCGUAAAGGGCGCGUAGGCGGCCUGAUAAGUAGGGGGUGAAAUCCUGCGGCUUAACCGCAGGGCUGCCUUCUAAACUGUCAGGCUCGAGCACAGUAGAGGCAGGUGGAAUUCCCGGUGUAGCGGUGGAAUGCGUAGAGAUCGGGAAGAACAUCAGUGGCGAAGGCGGCCUGCUGGGCUGUUGCUGACGCUGAGGCGCGACAGCGUGGGGAGCAAACAGGAUUAGAUACCCUGGUAGUCCACGCCGUAAACGAUGGGCACUAGGCGUCGGGGGGAGCGACCCUCCCGGUGCCGUCGCUAACGCAGUAAGUGCCCCGCCUGGGGAGUACGGCCGCAAGGCU